rnacentral:lncRNA from 1 species
GGACAUUCUGUAACACAAUAUAUCAUUGUUAGUUACCAAGAGUUCUGAGCUCUUUGAAGGAAAGAUUCAAGUCCAAAAAACAAAUAACAAUGGAACAGGGAAGUCUCACUCAUUACUCUGGAGGCAGAAGAGCUAUUGAAUGAAAAAUUUAUUCCUCAUGAUUGGGAUGCUCUGUCUCUUCAUUUCAGCCCCUCAGAAUUCCUGUCUCCAGGCACUUGAUACAUCUUUUCAAAAUAGCCAAACUUUAAUUGAAUAAAGGG